CUGCUGUCUUUCUGCUUACAGAAAAGCAUCCUAACCAUGAGGCUGCCAGAGGAUGUGACAGGGCAGAGUCUGUAGAGAUGGAAGUAAGGGGAGCAGAUGCCAGUAGAUCAGACAGCGAAGUGUCUACAGAGAGACAGCCUUUGAAGCCAGGAGGGGAAGGAGAGGCAGGU